rnacentral:lncRNA from 1 species
GAGCCCUUUGAAGAUGUUCCAGGACGUACUUACGCUUUGUAAACAAGAAUGCUGACAGAAGAUGAAGCAAGGAACAAUAGCUUCCUUCAUAUUCAGUUCAGGAAGAGUGAGUUGUUUUGUUUUCUUCCUGUUCAUCCUUCUGGUAUGUCAAAAAGGCCUGCUUCACAAAUGCAUGGGACUAGACAGAGAUUUUGCAUUCUUUGUUCUUUAUACUCCCUGAAAAGGCUGAAAGACUUGAUUUUUCAGAACCAGAGGUGAGCUACAAGGG